GACAGUUUUUCAAUACUCGUACGGAUUCUACCUUUUCCCGGUACUCGCCCGGAUUCUACCAUUUUUCGGUACUCACACAGAUUCGACCCUUUUCCGGUACUCGCGGGGACAGUUUUUCGAUACUCGUACGGAUUCUACCUUUUCCCGGUACUCGCCGGGAUUCUACCAUUUUUCGGUACUCAGACAGAUUCGACCCUUUUCCGGUACUCCACGGGACAGUUUUUCGAUACUCGUACGGAUUUCACCUUUUCCCGGUACUCGCCCGGAUUCUUCCAUUUUUCGGUACUCAGACAGAUUCGACCCUUUUUCGGUACUCGCUGGGACAGUUUUUCGAUACUCGUACGGAUUCUACCUUUUCCCGGUACUCGCCCGGAUUUUACCAUUUUUCAGUAUUGACACAGAUUCGACCCUUUUCCGGUACUCCUCGAGACAGUUUUUCGAUACUCGUAAGGAUUCUGCCUUUUCCUGGUACUCGCCUGGAUUCUACCAUUUUUUGGUACUCAGACAGAUUCGACCCUUUUCCGGUACUCGCUGGGACAGUUUUUCGAUACUCGUAUGGAUUCUACCUUCUCCCGGUACUCGCCGGGAUUCUACCAUUUUUCGGUACUCAGACAGAUUCGACCCUUUUCCGGUACUCCUCGGGACAGUUUUUCGAUACUCGUACGGAUUCUACCUUUUCCCGGUACUCGUCCGGAUUAUACCAUUUUUCGGUACUCAGACAGAUUUGACCCUUUUCCGGUACUCGCUGGGACAGUUUUUCGAUACUCGUACGGAUUCUUCCUUUUCCCGGUACUCGCCCGGAUUCUAUCAUUUUUCGGUACUCACACAGAUUCGACCCUUUUCCGGUACUCCUCGGGACACUUUUUCGAUACUCGUAGGGAUUCUACCUUUUCCCGGUACUCGCUGGGACAGUUUUUCGAUACUAGUACGGAUUCAACAUUUUUCCCGGUACUCGCCCGGAUGCUACCAUUUUUCGGUACUCAUAGAAAUUCGACCCUUUUCCGGUACUCAUCGGGACAGUUUUUCGAUACUCGUAGUGAUUCUACCUUUUCCCGGUACUCGCCGGGAUUCUGCCAUUUUUCGGUACUCAGACAGAUUCGUCCAUUUUCCGGUACUCGCGGGGACAGUUUUUAGGUACUCGUACGGAUUCUACCUUUUCCCGGUACACGCCUGGAUUCUACCAUUUUUCGGUACUCACACAGAUUCGACCCUUUUCCGGUACUCGCUGGGACAGUUUUUCGAUACUCCUAUGGAUUCUACCUUUUCCCGGUACUCGCCCGGAUUCUACCAUUUUUCUGUACUCACACAGAUUCGACCCUUUUCCGGA
rnacentral:lncRNA from 1 species